rnacentral:rRNA from 1 species
UUUAUUGGAGAGUUUGAUCCUGGCUCAGGACGAACGCUGGCGGCGUGCCUAAUACAUGCAAGUCGAGCGGACUUGUGAGAGCUUGCUCUCGCAAGUUAGCGGCGGACGGGUGAGUAACACGUGGGCAACCUGCCUGUAAGACUGGGAUAACUUCGGGAAACCGGAGCUAAUACCGGAUAAUUCUUUUCUACACAUGUAGGAAAGCUGAAAGAUGGCUUCGGCUAUCACUUACAGAUGGGCCCGCGGCGCAUUAGCUAGUUGGUGAGGUAACGGCUCACCAAGGCAACGAUGCGUAGCCGACCUGAGAGGGUGAUCGGCCACACUGGGACUGAGACACGGCCCAGACUCCUACGGGAGGCAGCAGUAGGGAAUCUUCCGCAAUGGACGAAAGUCUGACGGAGCAACGCCGCGUGAGUGAUGAAGGUUUUCGGAUCGUAAAACUCUGUUGUUAGGGAAGAACAAGUACCGUUCGAAUAGGGCGGUACCUUGACGGUACCUAACCAGAAAGCCACGGCUAACUACGUGCCAGCAGCCGCGGUAAUACGUAGGUGGCAAGCGUUGUCCGGAAUUAUUGGGCGUAAAGCGCGCGCAGGUGGUUCCUUAAGUCUGAUGUGAAAGCCCACGGCUCAACCGUGGAGGGUCAUUGGAAACUGGGGAACUUGAGUGCAGAAGAGGAAAGUGGAAUUCCACGUGUAGCGGUGAAAUGCGUAGAGAUGUGGAGGAACACCAGUGGCGAAGGCGACUUUCUGGUCUGUAACUGACACUGAGGCGCGAAAGCGUGGGGAGCGAACAGGAUUAGAUACCCUGGUAGUCCACGCCGUAAACGAUGAGUGCUAAGUGUUAGGGGGUUUCCGCCCCUUAGUGCUGCAGCUAACGCAUUAAGCACUCCGCCUGGGGAGUACGGCCGCAAGGCUGAAACUCAAAGGAAUUGACGGGGGCCCGCACAAGCGGUGGAGCAUGUGGUUUAAUUCGAAGCAACGCGAAGAACCUUACCAGGUCUUGACAUCCUCUGCCAACCCUAGAGAUAGGGCGUUCCCCUUCGGGGGACAGAGUGACAGGUGGUGCAUGGUUGUCGUCAGCUCGUGUCGUGAGAUGUUGGGUUAAGUCCCGCAACGAGCGCAACCCUUGAUCUUAGUUGCCAGCAUUCAGUUGGGCACUCUAAGGUGACUGCCGGUGACAAACCGGAGGAAGGUGGGGAUGACGUCAAAUCAUCAUGCCCCUUAUGACCUGGGCUACACACGUGCUACAAUGGAUGGUACAAAGGGCUGCGAGACCGCGAGGUUAAGCGAAUCCCAUAAAACCAUUCUCAGUUCGGAUUGCAGGCUGCAACUCGCCUGCAUGAAGCCGGAAUCGCUAGUAAUCGCGGAUCAGCAUGCCGCGGUGAAUACGUUCCCGGGCCUUGUACACACCGCCCGUCACACCACGAGAGUUUGUAACACCCGAAGUCGGUGGGGUAACCGUAAGGAGCCAGCCGCCUAAGGUGGGACAGAUGAUUGGGGUGAAGUCGUAACAAGGUAGCCGUAUCGGAAGGUGCGGCUGGAUCACCUCCUUUCUA